rnacentral:rRNA from 1 species
AACGAACGCUGGCGGCAGGCCUAACACAUGCAAGUCGAGCGCGCCUUCGGGUGAGCGGCGGACGGGUGAGUACCGCGUGGGAAUAUGCCCUUCUCUACGGAAUAGUCCUGGGAAACUGGGGGUAAUACCGUAUACGCCCUUUGGGGGAAAGAUUUAUCGGGGAAGGAUUAGCCCGCGUUGGAUUAGGUAGUUGGUGGGGUAAUGGCCUACCAAGCCGACGAUCCAUAGCUGGUUUGAGAGGAUGAUCAGCCACACUGGGACUGAGACACGGCCCAGACUCCUACGGGAGGCAGCAGUGGGGAAUCUUAGACAAUGGGGGCAACCCUGAUCUAGCCAUGCCGCGUGAGUGAUGAAGGCCUUAGGGUUGUAAAGCUCUUUCAGCUGGGAAGAUAAUGACGGUACCAGCAGAAGAAGCCCCGGCUAACUCCGU